AACGAACGCUGGCGGCAGGCUUAACACAUGCAAGUCGAACGCUCCGCAAGGAGAGUGGCAGACGGGUGAGUAACACGUGGGAACGUACCCUUUACUACGGAACAACUCCGGGAAACUGGAGCUAAUACCGUAUGUGCCCUUCGGGGGAAAGAUUUAUCGGUAAAGGAUCGGCCCGCGUUGGAUUAGCUAGUUGGUGGGGUAAAGGCCUACCAAGGCGACGAUCCAUAGCUGGUCUGAGAGGAUGAUCAGCCACAUUGGGACUGAGACACGGCCCAAACUCCUACGGGAGGCAGCAGUGGGGAAUAUUGGACAAUGGGCGCAAGCCUGAUCCAGCCAUGCCGCGUGUGUGAUGAAGGCCUUAGGGUUGUAAAGCACUUUCACCGGGGAAGAUAAUGACGGUACCAGCAGAAGAAGCCCCGGCUAACUCCGUGCCAGCAGCCGCGGUAAAAC
rnacentral:rRNA from 1 species